UGUUGUUCGCUUCACGCGGAAAGCAAACAACCAACCACCCUCGUCAGGUGAUUGCUCAAUAUUGACUACAAAUGAAGCAACAAAGUGCUAUUGUUCGCAUCACGCGGAAAGCAAACAAUCGACCACCCACGUCAGGUGAUCGUUUAAUAUUUACUAUUAAAGACGCGACAACACAUACAAACUUAAGCGCUAUUGCUCACUCCGCGCGGAAAGUAAACAAUCAGCCACCCGCGUCAGGUGGACACUCAAGAUUUACAACAAAAGACGUGUCAAAACAUGCAAUCUGAUGCGCUAUUGCUCGCUUCACGCGGAAAGCAAACAAUUGACCACCCACGUAAGGUGAUCGCUCAAUAUUUAUUCAUAAAAAUACUUGUAACAAAUAUACAUGGACAGAUACCUAAGAAAAAUAGUAUGUCGUUAAGAGAUUGCACAAAAGAAAUGAAAUGCAAUAAAAAGAAGAGAUAGUUUGUAAAAUGCCAUCUCGAACAGUGACAAAAUGGAACAAAAAUCCAAGUCGACACUCAUGGAGACGAACUAUACAAAGUCAAUGAAAAACUAUUUGAAAAGAGGAUAUUAUAAAUAUAUGGUAUAAAAUUGUAUUAAUAUAAUUGAUGUAGAAUCCAUAGAAAGAGAAUAACAAGGAACAAACUCACCGGAUAAUCGCCUGCCAUCAAUCGAACCAAAAAAUGCGAAACGAAAAAAAAAAAAAAUCGGAGCACCGAAGGCAACGCGCACGCGAAUCCGGCCUCCAGUUGCCGAGCCGUCGCUACACACACUGACUGAAGCCGGGUCUUCUUCCUCUGCCAUCAAUCGGAUCAAAAAGCGCAAAAACCAAAUGGAAAAAAAACUAAAUCGGGGUACCGAAGGCAACGCGCGCGCAAAUCUGGCCUCCAGCUGCCGAGCCGUCACUACACACACUGACUGAAGCCGGGUCUUCUUCCUCUGCCAUCAAUCGGAUCAAAAAGCGCAAAAACCAAAUGGAAAAAAAACUAAAUCGGGGUACCGAAGGUAACGCGCGCGCAAAUCUGGCCUCCAGCUGCCGAGCCGUCACUACACACACUGACUGAAGCCGGGUCUUCUUCCUCUGCCAUCAACCGUACCAAAAAGCGCAAAAAGCAAAUGGAAAAAAACUAAAUCGGAGCACCGAAGGCAACGCGCGCGCAAAUCUGGCCUCCAGCUGCCGAGCCGUCACUACACACACUGACUGAAGCCGGGUCUUCUUCCUCUGCCAUCAAUCGGAUCAAAAAGCGCAAAUAGCAAAUGGAAAAAAAACUAAAUCGGAGCACCGAAGGCAACGCGCGCGCAAAUCUGGCCUCCAGCUGCCGAGCCGUCACUACACACACUGACUGAAGCCGGGUCUUCUUCCUCUGCCAUCAACCGUACCAAAAAGCGCAAAAAGCAAAUGGAAAAAAACUAAAUCGGAGCACCGAAGGCAACGCGCGCGCAAAUCUGGCCUCCAGCUGCCGAGCCGUCACUACACACACUGACUGAAGCCGGGUCUUCUUCCUCUGCCAUCAAUCGGAUCAAAAAGCGCAAAUAGCAAAUGGAAAAAAAACUAAAUCGGGGUACCGAAGGUAACGCGCGCGCAAAUCUGGCCUCCAGCUGCCGAGCCGUCACUACACACACUGACUGAAGCCGGGUCUUCUUCCUCUGCCAUCAAUCGGAUCAAAAAGCGCAAAAAGCAAAUGGAAAAAAACUAAAUCGGAGCACCGAAGGCAACGCGCGCGCAAAUCUGGCCUCCAGCUGCCGAGCCGUCACUACACACACUGACUGAAGCCGGGUCUUCUUCCUCUGCCAUCAAUCGGAUCAAAAAGCGCAAAAACCAAAUGGAAAAAAAACUAAAUCGGGGUACCGAAGGUAACGCGCGCGCAAAUCUGGCCUCCAGCUGCCGAGCCGUCACUACACACACUGACUGAAGCCGGGUCUUCUUCCUCUGCCAUCAACCGUACCAAAAAGCGCAAAAAGCAAAUGGAAAAAAACUAAAUCGGAGCACCGAAGGCAACGCGCGCGCAAAUCUGGCCUCCAGCUGCCGAGCCGUCACUACACACACUGACUGAAGCCGGGUCUUCUUCCUCUGCCAUCAAUCGGAUCAAAAAGCGCAAAUAGCAAAUGGAAAAAAACUAAAUCGGAGCACCGAAGGCAACGCGCGCGCAAAUCUGGCCUCCAGCUGCCGAGCCGUCACUACACACACUGACUGAAGCCGGGUCUUCUUCCUCUGCCAUCAACCGUACCAAAAAGCGCAAAAAGCAAAUGGAAAAAAACUAAAUCGGAGCACCGAAGGCAACGCGCGCGCAAAUCUGGCCUCCAGCUGCCGAGCCGUCACUACACACACUGACUGAAGCCGGGUCUUCUUCCUCUGCCAUCAAUCGGAUCAAAAAGCGCAAAUAGCAAAUGGAAAAAAAACUAAAUCGGGGUACCGAAGGUAACGCGCGCGCAAAUCUGGCCUCCAGCUGCCGAGCCGUCACUACACACACUGACUGAAGCCGGGUCUUCUUCCUCUGCCAUCAAUCGGAUCAAAAAGCGCAAAAAGCAAAUGGAAAAAAACUAAAUCGGAGCACCGAAGGCAACGCGCGCGCAAAUCUGGCCUCCAGCUGCCGAGCCGUCACUACACACACUGACUGAAGCCGGGUCUUCUUCCUCUGCCAUCAAUCGGAUCAAAAAGCGCAAAAACCAAAUGGAAAAAAAACUAAAUCGGGGUACCGAAGGCAACGCGCGCGCAAAUCUGGCCUCCAGCUGCCGAGCCGUCACUACACACACUGACUGAAGCCGGGUCUUCUUCCUCUGCCAUCAAUCGGAUCAAAAAGCG